rnacentral:rRNA from 1 species
CGUUAAAACCCAAAGGCACAAUGAAAGUAAAGGGGGCUCUGCCCUCCGAGGGAUGAUGGUUGUCUCGGCCGCCGUCGCUGCGGCGUCGGUGGACGGGGCGGCCCGCAAUCCCGGGGCGUCUCUGGCUCAUCGCGAGCGGAGGCGCACCCAGAGCGCACGCGUUGGGACCCGAAAGAUGGUGAACUAUGCCUGGCCAGGACGAAGCCAGGGGAAACCCUGGUGGAGGUCCGUAGCGAUUCUGACGUGCAAAUCGAUCGUUAGAGCUGGGUAUAGCGGCGAAAGACCAAUCGAACCAUCUAGUAGCUGGUUCCCUCCGAAGUUUCCCUCAGGAUAGCUGGCUCUCAUGAGAUACGAGUCUCAUCUGGUAAAGCGAAUGAUUAGAGGCCUUGGGGUCGAAACGACCUCAACCUAUUCUCAAACUUUAAAUGGAUGAGAACCCCGGCUUGCUUGACUCUGCCUGUGAAGCCGGGGCUCGGAUUCGAGUGCCAAGUGGGCCAAUUUUG